AAUGAGACUCAUUUCCUGCUGUAUGUUUGUUGACAUACGAAACCGUCUACAUUCAGGUUUUGUGUGUGCUCGGAAGUGACGUAAUCAACAUAUGAUCAAAACGUACAGCAUAUGUUUGAUUAAACCGUAUGCACUAAUACCGCUGAUUUGACUACCGAAACAUUUGCUAAGACGUAGACAAAAGGAUGAAGGACGUAAUUCGUGGUGUCAAUCAGGUCUCCGACCAGCCCUCCAUCUUCUUCUCUAUGGUGGUCAUGGGAUACUUCAUGAUCUGGGUCGCUGGCUUCCAGGUUGACAAGACCUUGCAGUUUUAUCGGGAUCGAGAACGAGAGGCCGGCCAGCCAAUCAGAAUCCCGACCUGGUGAAGUGUAAUCGGGUUCUGUGUGCUGACGCUGAUCUACCUGUGGGUCGACUUGAUCAUCAUCCGGGUCCUCGUCGGCUGGAUCAAGCAGUUCCUGAAAAAAUGGGAGAAAGAGCGACAACGCGCCAAAGCGGCUAUGCUGAAACAAGCGGCUCUCCUAAACUUGGACGACGGACCAGACGAAGAGGCGAUCCUUAUUAGGAAGAAUCCACCGAGGACCUGCCGACCUUACUAGGGCGCGACCUUGACCUAGAUCAGGCCUUGACCUCACCAUAACGUGUUAGAAAGUGCCAGAUAAUUUUGAAAUGGGUGAUGUGGGGUGGUGUGUAUGACGUUGUUGUGGGUAGCAUGUGUAAUCAUAUAGGGCAUUUGUGUGUGAGUUGUAUUAUGUUUUGAUUGUAUGUGAAGUAUGACGGUUAUCUGUCUCAAUGGAAUUAGGUUUAUAUCAAAGAUGGAGCCUGGGAUUUGGUGUGCUUUGGGUUUGUCGAAGGGGGGGGGGGGCACCAGGAUAAUAAUACUUUGGCUUUUUGUGAAGAUAUUCCUGUUCAGUGUGCUUUGUUUUAUCAAUUGGAUUAUGGGGAUAGGGGGUGGAGGU